GCCUGCCCAGUGACCAUGUGUUCAACGGCCGCGGUAUUCUGACCGCGCGAAGGUAGCGUAAUCACUUGUUUUUUAAAUAAAGACUAGUAUGAAUGGCCGCACGAGGACUUAACUGUCUCCUUUGUCCAAUCAGUGAAACUGAUCUCCUCGUGCAGAAGCGAGGAUGACGCCAUAAGACGAGAAGACCCUAUGGAGCUUUAGACUUCAAUAUCAAAUAUUUUACUAAACCCCUCUACAGAACUAACAAUAAACCAAAUACACUUGAUAUAAGUCUUAGGUUGGGGCGACCAUGGAGAAAAAAAAAUCCUCCAUGACUUCUAAACCAAGAGCUACAGCUCUAAGUUUUUAGACACUUACUCCUAUUGACCCACUUUGUGAUCAACGAACCAAGUUACCCUAGGGAUAACAGCGCAAUCUGCUUCAAGAGUCCUUAUCGACAAGCGGGUUUACGACCUCGAUGUUGGAUCAGGGCAUCCAAGUGGUGCAGCCGCUACUAAAGGUUCGUUUGUUCAACGAUUAAAGCCCU
rnacentral:rRNA from 1 species